UACGGGGGGGGCAAGCGUUGUUCGGAAUUACUGGGCGUAAAGGGUGCGUAGGCGGUUUGCUAUGUCGGAUGUGAAAACUCUGGGCUCAACCCAGAGCCUGCAUCCGAAACUGGCGAGCUUGAGGACUGGAGAGGAGACUGGAAUUUACGGUGUAGCGGUGAAAUGCGUAGAUAUCGUAAGGAAGACCAGUGGCGAAGGCGGGUCUCUGGACAGUUCCUGACGCUGAGGCACGAAGGUCAGGGGAGCAAACGGG
rnacentral:rRNA from 1 species